rnacentral:rRNA from 1 species
GUGGGGAAUCUUGCGCAAUGGGCGAAAGCCUGACGCAGCCAUGCCGCGUGAAUGAUGAAGGUCUUAGGAUUGUAAAAUUCUUUCACCGGGGACGAUAAUGACGGUACCCGGAGAAGAAGCUCCGGCUAACUUCGUGCCAGCAGCCGCGGUAAUACGAAGGGGGCUAGCGUUGCUCGGAAUUACUGGGCGUAAAGGGCGCGUAGGUGGACAGCUUAGUCAGAGGUGAAAGCCCAGGGCUCAACCUUGGAAUUGCCUUUGAUACUGGCUGUCUUGAGUUUGGGAGAGGUGAGUGGAACUCCGAGUGUAGAGGUGAAAUUCGUAGAUAUUCUGAAGAACACCAGUGGCGAAGGCGACUCACUGGCCCAAUACUGACGCUGAGGCGCGAAAGCGUGGGGAGCAAACAGGAUUAGAUACCCCAGUAGUCC